rnacentral:antisense_RNA from 1 species
UCAUAAAAAAAAUCAGAUGAAUUUUGUCUGCGAAACAUUCUGCAAAAAUAUCUGACCAAGCUGGGCAUUGUGGUAUGUGCCUUUAGUCCUAGCUACUCUGGAGGCUGAGGCAGGAGGAUCACUUGAGCCCAGGACUUUGAGGCCACUGUAAGCUAUGAUCAUGCCACUGCACUCCAGCUCAGGAAACAAACAGUAUUUGUUCAACAAACAAAAGAAAAUAAAAGAAUGGUAGACAAGGAAAGCAGUGGAACAGCUAUGCAAGAAGCCUACUUUCUCUUCAUGUAACACGUUGGCCUAAGAGAUCUAUAGAGCUUUUUAAAAACAGAGAAGGCAGCAAGAUUUAAAAUAAUAAAACCAGCAAUAGGUAUUUUUUAAAGUGAGAGAAACUAUCAGAGAGCUGAAGCAGAAAAGCAAGUUAAAAAUAAAGGAAACAGAAAAGGAACUGAUAUAGCUGAUUUGAUACUAGAAAGAUCACCCAGGAGGCAGCACGGAGAAUGGAUUGGAGAAG